rnacentral:rRNA from 1 species
GAUGGACGCUGGCGGCGUGCCUAAUACAUGCAAGUCGAGCGAACAGACGAGGAGCUUGCUCCUUUGACGUUAGCGGCGGACGGGUGAGUAACACGUGGGUAACCUACCUAUAAGACUGGGAUAACUUCGGGAAACCGGAGCUAAUACCGGAUAAUAUUUCGAACCGCAUGGUUCGAUAGUGAAAGAUGGCUCUGCUAUCACUUAUAGAUGGACCUGCGCCGUAUUAGCUAGUUGGUAAGGUAACGGCUUACCAAGGCAACGAUACGUAGCCGACCUGAGAGGGUGAUCGGCCACACUGGAACUGAGACACGGUCCAGACUCCUACGGGAGGCAGCAGUAGGGAAUCUUCCGCAAUGGGCGAAAGCCUGACGGAGCAACGCCGCGUGAGUGAUGAAGGUCUUCGGAUCGUAAAACUCUGUUAUUAGGGAAGAACAAACGUGUAAGUAACUGUGCACGUCUUGACGGUACCUAAUCAGAAAGCCACGGCUAACUACGUG